GCAGGUAAUGCUGUUAUCCAACAAAAGGCUGAAUCCUACAAGGGCUUGAGAGUGGUGUUACCAUUAAGUGUUGGUCGGUGUUCUUCCUGCAGGCACAGGAGCACAUUCCCACCUCAGCCACACUUCUUCUCCAG